UUUUGCUAAUGACUUCUGUAGUUUCGCUUUUAAAACUGUUCUGUGAAAAUACCUUAUGCAGUGCUUUCUUAAAAGCCCCAUUUGUUUACUUUUACUAAGCUGAAAGCACACUUUACGUCUGGGAGCAACCAAAUAACAGAUUUGCUCUCCUUUGAGGACUCAUCAUUCAGUUAAACAUUUUUGAAUAAUGACAGUGGGUCUUGGGUUUCAAAGAUGAGACCCAAUUUCUGCACUUGAGGAAACCACAGGUCUAAUCGGAGGGCAACAGUGUCAUCUGGAAGUGCCGGCUCAGGGAUGCCGUCCUGACGGAAGUCAUGAAUGCUGGAAGUGGGUCUCGCAGGGUGAGAGGAGUCACCAGGUGAAGACUGAUGAGAAGAGUCUGUGGGUGAAGACAUUGAAAAGGUUUCAACUAUAAAAAGACAGAGUCUCACUUUGUCGCCCAGGCUGGAGUACAGUGGCGCCAUCUCAGCUCACUGCAACCUCCGCCUCCCAAGCUCAAGUGAUUCUCCUGCUUCAGCCUCCCGAGUAGCUGAGAUUACAGGUGUGCGCCACCCCACCUGGCUAAUUUUUGUGUUUUUAGUAGAGACAGGGUUUCGUCAUGUUGGCCAGGCUGGUCUUGAACUCCUGACCGCCCACCUCAGCCUCGGAAAGUGCUAGGAUUAUAGGCGUGAGCCACCGCGCCCGGCCCAAGCUCCAUCUUUAAAUGUGUUCUGCCUGUGCUUGCAGGAACCGGUGAGGCUGUGAAGAGAAUAGUAAAACGCUGCAUUCUCACGGGGGUUCAAAGCUUUUUCCUCUGAAACGCAAUGAACUGUUCUACCACUUCCUACACCUCGAGACAAGUGUCAACUAUGUAUUUUUUAGACAAAAAAUUUGAAAGCUUUUUAUGUUUUAUGAUAUUUUAUGAACAUGAGCUUUUCUAUCUGAAGAACUUUAAAGCACUUAUGAAAAGUAUGAUGAUACUCAUGGGGUCACUUUAGAGUACACAAGAAAACAGACGGGAAGAGGUUUGUUGACAUGAAAUGCUGACCUGCUGACCUGCUGUGAGAUAUUGAACACGUUAUUUUUCUUCCCCCAUGGUCGUUCUUCUGACCAUCUUGAAAGAUAGCCAAGAAAGCUUUUUCUUCUAAUUAUUUCCAGUUAUUGUAGGUUCAUUCAGACCUGCAAUUAAACAAAUUAUCCAUGUUUUGAGAAUAUUGAUUUUAAACAUUAAAUGUUUACAUUUCUAUAUAGAGAGAAUUCAUUCUCUGCCCCCUACCACCAGAUUUUAGCCUUAAAGGCAAGUUAUUUAGUUUUGCUUAUUCUCAUACACUGAACAGUUGUUUAGCAAAUGGCUUAAAUAAUGUGGUCUCUUGAUUCAGGAAAAUGUGGCUCACAAAUGAACCAUUUAGAGCAAAUGGUGCAUCUUUUAUAUCUUAGAUUUAUAGUGCAAUGAAGACAUACUCUAAAGUUCAUAUUUUUAUUUUUAUGGUUCAGUAUAUUUGCAGGAAGAAAGGACUAGAGAUUUUUCAGGCACUUUCUUUUCUCUCUCUCUCUCUCUCUUUUUUUUUUUUUUUUGAGAUGGAGUCUCACUCUGUUGUCCAGGCUGGAGUACAGUGGCAUGAUCUUGGCUCACUGCAACCUCCACCUCCUGGGUUCGAAUGAUUCUUCUGCCUCAGUCUCCUGAGCAGCUGGGACUACAGGCACCCGCCACCACGCCUAGCUAGUUUUUGUGUUUUUAGUAGAGACGGGGUUUCACCAUAUUGGCCAGGCUGGUCUCGAACUCCUGACCUCGUGAUCCGCCCGCCUUGGCCUCCCGAAGUACUGGGAUUACAGGUGUGAGCCACUGCGCCUGGCGGGCACUUUCUAUACUAAUGUUCAAAGCACAUUCACAUCUAUUGUACCUUUUAUCUCCCACUCUCCAUCUCCAGGUUUAUAUUUUCAUUGGUACUUUAUCAGAACACUUUGUACUGUGAUAGCAACUCUUACUCAAAUUUGGUAAAACAAACAGAAAUGAGUAAAUUGCUCUUGAAGGAGUACAGCCUCUAAGACUCAUUGGUUCAGUGACUCAGAAACAUCACUGAGGACUCAGUUUCUUCCCAUCUCUCUGCUCCACCAUCCGUGGGGUUGGCUUCUUUCUCAGGCAGUUUCCCCUAAGUGGUCACAAGAUGUCUACUAGCCACAAAUGGAAUAAGAGGUUCCCUUGUCCAUGUGCACCAGGAGACAGAAACCUCUUCACAGCCUUUCAAUACAUAUUGUCCCUUCUUUUGAUCUGAUGUGGCCACUUACAUCAUGAAGGGCAGUAACCAUACUCAAUGCCCGCACUGAUGGGCUUACAUCCGGCAGGAUCCACCUCUAGGGCUGGGGAUGGCUUAGCUCCAGCUAUGCCAUAUGACUAUGUGUAGAAGAAACAAGGAAGUGGUUACCUUGGGGAGAAGUAGAGAACAAAUGCUGGGUAAGAAACCAAUAGCACCAUUAAAAUGGGGCCAUUGUACUUCAUUGUGUUAUUCUUUUUAUUCUCUAAAUAAAACAAAUUCUGAAUAUAA
rnacentral:lncRNA from 1 species